rnacentral:rRNA from 1 species
AAUAGAUACCCGGGUAGUCCACGCCCUAAACGAUGGAUGCUAGCUGUUGGUCGUAUCGACCCGAUCAGUAGCGAAGCUAACGCGUUAAGCAUCCCGCCUGUGGAGUACGAGCGCAAGCUUAAAAACAUAAAGGAAUUGACGGGGACCCGCACAAGCGGUGGAGUGUGUUGUUUAAUUCGAUGGUAAACGAAGAACCUUACCCAGACUUGACAUCCUUGGAAGGACUACGAAAGUAGACUGUGCCUUUUGGAGCCAAGUGACAGGUGUUGCAUGGCCGUCGUCAGCUCGUGUCGUGAGAUGUUUGGUUAAGUCCAUUAACGAGCGCAACCCUUGUGAAUAGUUGUAUUUUUCUAUUCAGACUGCCCUGGCAACAGGGAGGAAGGAGGGGAUGAUGUCAGGUCAGUAUUACCCUUACGUCUGGGGCUACAAACACGCUACAAUGGCCGGUACAAAGGGACGCCAACCCGCGAGGGGUAGCAAACCCCGAUCAAAGCCGGUCUCAGCUCGGAUUGCAGGCUGAAACUCGCCUGCAUGAAG